GAGGUGGAAGCGUAGUGAUACGUGGAGCUGACGAAUACUAAUCGAUCGAAGACUUAAUCAAAUU
rnacentral:rRNA from 2 species